rnacentral:snoRNA from 1 species
CUGCAGCCAAUUAAGCCAACUGUACUCCUUUCCCCUGGGGUUCCAUGUGUAAUGCCUGCCAACAGCACCCUUUCUGGGAGUCUGGGAGUGCGGGCAGCUUGUAUGUGGCUUGGAUGGGCAGCACUAACGGGUCUUGGAGACAGCC